rnacentral:lncRNA from 12 species
AGCUAAAUCACCUUUCUUGACAGAGGAAAAAUGGUGCUUCAUCACAUGAAACUGUCAGAGGAAGAUCACACUGCUUACUUUGAGAAGCCAACAGGAAACUGUGGAAGAUCUAUUCCUUCUUGAAAGACCUGGGCCAUGGUUGUCCAAGUCUUCUUAGGUGUCAUCAUUCACUAUAAUAUUUCUCAUCAAUCAGUUACCAUCCUAAAAGGAUCAGCUGAAGGCCAUCAAUUGCAUCGAACAUCCUAAGAAGAAAGAAUCACACCUGGCCAGCAUCCUAAUAGUGAGCAACCUUUCUGCUUUCCUCAAGAGUCAACAGAAAAAGAUGAAGACUCUGACACUGCUGGCAUGCAUUUGUGCACUGACUGCUUGCUUCUCACUCUGUGAAGGUUGGAAAAAGCAAGGGAAAAUACAUCACAAAAGGAAUAAUGUCCAACAAUAUACAUUAGACCGCCGAUUACCAACUCAUCUCAAAUUUCACCCUAACUGGAAUAUAUUAAUUCAAAAGCAUUUAAUUUUUGGUCCACACAGAUACCCAAAGCGUCCAAAUCCAAACAGAAGAAAACCAAAGCCGACCCGUCCCCAGCCACCUAAAUGUCCAACUAAAACUAACACCGUUGUUAGUAGCACCUCAGAGGCCAACACUCAAAUCCCAUCUUUGAGUCCCAUAACUACUUCCAACAAAAUUGUUAAAUCUCCAGGUGUGACUUCUACUAAUAAUGUUUCCACCAUAUCUCAAAAAGAAGAUACCAAUACAGGCCCUUCUGCAGCUACCCCAUCAACACAACCUUCCCCCGCCCUGCCAGACACCACAGCUGCCCCACCUACAUCUUCCCUAACUACACCAGCACCACAACCUUCCUCACCUCUACUGGACCACACAACUGCCCCAAAUACCACACCUAAUCCUUCCCCAACCACUCCUGCUUCUCCAACUUCCAAAACUACAACUGCACCCACCACCCAAACUACUACUCCGGCCACUACUCUAACUACUACUGUUGAACAAACAACCUCACCUUCCAGCCAAAAUGCAAAUUCUCAAUUCUGGCAAUAUAUUUAUGAGUUAAUAAAGUACAUUUCUGGUAUUACACCAAAGAAAUAGUACAUCAUACAUUAUGAAGUGUUCUGUUGUCAGACAUGAGUUAUGAGUUAUUUUUGCCACCAAUCUCAAAGUGAAAUAACAAUAUUCUUCAAAUUUAAAGCACUAUCACUAAUCUUUGAAUCUAUUUACCUCACAUGACUUAUUAACAAGAAAAACCACCUCUAUCUCACAAAACAAGUGCAUAACUUUAAUAGAUCACUUUGUGGAACCUAUAGAGACAGCCCUCUGAGGGGGGAAAAGACAUUAACUAAACAGACAAAAUUACAUGGAUCAGGAAACAUUUAUUUUUCCCUAAAUGAUGGAAACCAUAAGGUCACUAUUCUAUACCCUCAACCAAGAACUCACCUGAAUUGUCUAAUCCCACAAAUAUAAAGGGAUAAUAUCAUGUCUCUCAAACAAAAACAUGUAAAUAUAGAUUAACCUAUAUUGUAGGUUAAUCAUUGUAUUACUGGUUAGAGACAAAAAUUCUUUAAACAAUCAUCCUAAAGCCUUAAAUCCAAUUCCAUUCCACAAAAUGUGAACCAAGGAAGGGAAAGUUGAUUUGAAGUGAAGAUUUGAAGUUAGUGAAAAUGAAAUCUGGCAGCCAAGCACAAACCAGGUCCCUGGCACUAUGUAUUUGAGAGCAUAUGAUUGUUUAGACGUAUGGUUGAUUUUAAUUGUAUUAUAUCUAAGUUAAUUUGCAUCCAAUGUACUUGAUUCUAGCCUCUGUGAAUCACAAAAAACUUUUUGUGUAUGUUCACAUGGUGGUAAUAAUAUUUUACUAUGAAUUCAAUUAAUUUCAUCUUACUAAUUCAAUUAAUUCAAUGUGAAAUGUAUUCAGCAGCAGAAUAUUUUCUAAAACUUUUAGCCAUACAUUUAAAUGUGUUUUAAAGCAAACCAUACUAAACUACUGCCCUGGUGUUACAUUUGCAAAACUGUCUCUGAAAAUAAACCCUGAUUGUAGUCAAUAGGAGAAUAACA